GGGCUUAUAGUACAGUGGUAGUACGCCGCAUUCGCAUUGCGGAGACGCGAGUUCGACUCUCGCUAAGUCCACAA
rnacentral:tRNA from 12 species